UAUAUAAUUAUAUACAUAUUAUAUAUAUAUAUAAAUAUAUACAUAUACGACAUCCAGGUGUUCUUAAGUAGACCACGGUGUCCAUCACAGAUCUACUGAUGCACAAACUCAUCAUGGAACCUUCUGAGGAGGUGAAGCAUCUAAUAAGCUGUAAUCAGACAGUCGCGGACCGGCUGAAUGCGGAAGGAUGAUUAUUGAUCCGUCCGCAUCCCUCCGAUCGGAGGCGUGUCCGCGCGAGCAGCCAUGUUCUCCCAUGACGUCGCCAAAUCGGACGUGAGGUCAUCGCUCUCUGCAGCGGCUGCGGAAGGCUCGCGGACCCAAACAACUCCUCUUCCUCCUCCUCCUCCUCCUCCUCCUCUUCGCGGACCAUGGACGGUGGACGCCACCGAUAGGCUGUGUGUUCCUGAGCGCGCUCAGUCCGUCCCGUCUCCGGUCCUACGCCCGCGUCAGCUUCCUGUUGACGUCUCUGAACAGGAAGUGAAGUUAUUAACCCGAUAACGGCC